UAAAGAAUAUUGGUCAAUGGACGCAAGUCUGAACCAGCCAUGCCGCGUGAGGGAUGAAGGUCCUCUGGAUUGUAAACUUCUUUUAUCUGGGACGAAAACGGGAUUUUUAUCUCAAUUGACGGUACCAGAGGAAUAAGCACCGGCUAACUCCGUGCCAGCAGCCGCGGUAAUACGGAGGGUGCGAGCGUUGUUCGGAUUUACUGGGCGUAAAGGGCGCGUAGGCGGCGCGGUAAGUCACUUGUGAAAUCUCUGAGCUUGACUCAGAACGGCCAAGUGAUACUGCUGUGCUAGAGUGCGGAAGAGGCAACCGGAAUUCUUGGUGUAGCGGUGAAAUGCGUAGAUAUCAAGAGGAACACCUGAGGCGAAGGCGGGUUGCUGGGCCGACACUGACGCUGAUGCGCGAAAGCCAGGGGAGCAAACG
rnacentral:rRNA from 1 species